GACAGAGGAGCCAAGCGUUGUCCGGAUUGACUGGGCGUAAAGCGCACGCAGGCGGCCGUGCACGUGGGGUGUGAAAGCGCUCGGCUUAACUGAGCGAUGCCACCUCAUACGGCAGGGCUCGAGCCCGUGAGAGGUCCACGGAAUUGCCGGUGUAGUGGUGAAAUGCGUAGAGAUCGGGAGGAACACCGGUGGCGAAGGCGGGUCUCUGGGCAAUUCCUGACGCUGAGGCGCGAAAGCGUGGGGAGCAAACGGG
rnacentral:rRNA from 1 species